GAUGAAGAACGUAGCGAAAUGCGAUAAGUAGUGUGAAUUGCAGAAUUCAGUGAAUCAUCGAAUCUUUGAACGCACAUUGCGCCCCUUGGUAUUCCAUGGGGCAUGCCUGUUCGAGCGUCAUCUACACCCUCAAGCUCUGCUUGGUGUUGGGCGUCUGUCCCGCCCCCGCGCGUGGACUCGCCCCAAAUCCAUUGGCAGCGUUCCUUGCCCCCUCUCGCGCAGCACAUUGCGCUUCUCGAGGGCGGCUCCGGGACGCGAUCCAGCAAGAUGACCACCGUCUUUGACCUCGGAUCAGGUAGGGAUACCCGCUGAACUUAAGCAUAUCAAUAAGGGAGGA
rnacentral:misc_RNA from 1 species